rnacentral:lncRNA from 1 species
UAAGCUCUCUCACAUGAGCCAAAUACCCCUGACAUCCCUUCCUAAGCAACCUACGAGCCUGAAGAGCUGAUAUCAGACCUCUAGGUGUACCCCUCCUGUCUCCCCUGAAGACAACCUCUGACCCAUCCUGACCUCUAAACCUGACUACCUUGUCCCUGCAGUCCAAGGUAGCACCAUGGGUAGAUAACCAGUCCAUCCCUAGAAUGACGUCAAAAU